rnacentral:lncRNA from 1 species
ACAACGCAAACAAAAAACUUUCUCUAUUAUAUUUUCUUUGCAACAUUUUGACUUCAAAAUUCCAAAACGCAAACGUGUAUCAUUUAUUACUAGUCAUGAAUUUUAAGAAGCCUGAAGUAUAUUUUUUAGUUGGUAAACGUAUCACUGACGACUCUUUUUGCGACAUAAUUGUACUAAGAGAAAGAUGUGAUCUGAUUCCAGUACUUAUAAUAUAGCGAUAUUUCAACGAUGAACGGGUUAAGAUGACUACUAUGAAAUUAUGCAGUUAAUUUAAAACCUCGCUACAAGCCGAAUACGUACUCAACUCUAUUUGACAUAAAUUUGGAAACAAAUUUCAAACGGGAUAGAGAUUGAAUAUAUCACAAUGUCCCUUUAGCACAGAGACAAUUGUUGGAGAAUGUGAUAGAUUCAAUCACAUUCGAGGCAGAUAAUUAGAACCAAUAAACCACUCCAACAUAUGAACUUACUCAUGGAUUUUAGUCUAUCAACGCAACCAACUUCACCGGCUGAUUACUUUUUUUAUAUUUUCAAAGUUUCCUAUUAGGCAAAUGUAAUUUUAUAAUUUUCGUUGGAUUAUUUCAGAAUUAUUCAGAAUAUUCUUUUAAGGUAUUAAUAAAUCUUCAAAAAUAAAGGCUACAACUACUCACAUACAAAUAUUACAUUAUGCUUUCACAAAUGAACUACAUUUGUUUAAUGAACACGACUUAUUGUGCGUUGGAUUUAUCGUGCGGGGUGUAAGGGAAUGAUAACAAUGAGCUAGAUAGGAAAAUUGCAGCACUCGUACAAUAUGCGUUCAUGUUUACAGCCGAGAUGGAGGAUAAACAGUGAAGUGCAGCACUUGGGCACCUGACGAAACUGGAGCACAUGGUCAUAUUUUAAAUAUGUAUGAAACAGAAGCAACAAAACAAGCCAAAGGUACUUCAAAAAAAUAAAUACGGCUCAAGUAAAUAAACAUAAUUCAACUAGCAAUGAAGUACAAAUGCUCCUGAAUGCUGUUAAUGUUGCAUACAUAAAUGUAGCUAUAUAUGAGAUAUAAUGGACUGAUAAACAUAACUGCAGCAGGCGCAGUCUCUGCAGUCAAUUAUAUCCAUUUUUUUCACAUAAUCAUUUAGGCUUAAGCUAUUCAUGAAGUUAUCUGGCAAACAGCACUAAUAGCUAGACAAGCUAGACGUUGGUAAGCAUUUCCAAUUAUGUUGAAAUUUGUGAAAAUGCAUUCUAAAAAUUCUU